rnacentral:lncRNA from 1 species
UUUUUUUUUUUUUUUGUUAUUUUGACUUAAAAACAAGUGCUUAUAAGUAUUUUUUUUUUAUUCAAAUGCUUCAAAGUUGAUUUAAAGCAAUUUUGGUUUUAAAAUCUCUAAAAUAAGUCAAUUUAAAUAGGGUUUUAGUGUCGAGUUAAAAUUAGACAAAUAAAUUGAGACGGAGGGAUUAUAUAUUUUUUUUCUCCUUAAUUGCCACUCUCUCAUCUAUCAUACAAUUACAAACACCCUCCUCUUCUCCUCUUCUCUACCUUCCCUUCUUCAUCCUCCCUCUUCUCAUUUUGGUUAUGAAAGUUUUAAGCUUUUUUGGAGAAGAGGGGGUGGGUGGUUCAAGAUUUGUGAAUGUCACUAUGUCAGAGAAGAACACAAUCAUGAAGAGGCUAGUAAGUACGUUGGUUUAUUUAUUUUUUUUCAUUUUUGUGUUCUUGUUUUUUUAAACUGAGGGUGUCUUGUUUUUUGACUAAAUCUUGAUUUUCAUGUCUUGAAUCUGAUAUUUUCACUUGAAAAAUUAGUGGGUAUUUGCUAGAUUGUGAUAUUUGUGGUUAAAAAAUGAUUCUUGGCUCAAUUGGUUUCACUUCUUUUCCUUGCUAGGGGUUGGGGGUGGGGUUGGGGGGGUUUAGAACUUAGUAUUUGUGCUCUGAAUUGGAUUUACUAACAGGGUUUUGUAGAGAUUUGCUUGAUCUCUUGUAUUAUCUAACUGGGAUGCCUAAUGUUUUUGUCUACAUUGUAUUUUCAAGAUAAGGAUUUGGUGGAUUCAAGAUUUGUUUGGAUGGUCUUUGCAAUCAUAAAGUUUUGAUUUUUAUAGUGAAAUUUUGUUUUGUCUUCUAGCACAUCAAUCCUGGUAGAAGGGAUCUGAUUGGGAAACUACUAAUGGUUUACAAUGACUUGAUGAAGUGUGAUAUAAAUUAUGAAAGCUGACUAAGUUAUAAAUACACUUUUUCUCUUUUCAUUCUCAUUUGAAUUAACACUUAUCAGGUACUGUAAUUUCUCAGUGUUUUGUGCUCCAAAUGAAGUCUCUAUCUAUAGGUUACUAAUCAAGUUGAGAGCUUUUUCUAUAAAAGGAAAAGAAUAUCUACUUGUGUUCUUUCUACUGGUGUUUCCUGUUCCUUUGUCACAUCAGCUUUUAUGUAGGUGGUUCUUCCCAGCAUUUUUCUGUUUCUCUGUGAGAUCUGCAAACAGUGAAAAUAUGCCAAAAUAUGUUAAGGUAGAACCGAGACAAUGUAUCUCAGUGAUGCUGAUUAGGGAACUUGCAAAUAUAUUAGGCCGCGGCAUAGAUUUUAUUAGCUUACAUGAUAGUGAAAGUUUAGAAAUUCAGUAAAAUGCUGGAUGAUUUACCUUUUCUCUUUGAUUUUGUUUCCAGGCAGUGCUACUUUUGCUGUUGGUGUUCAGUCACUGUAUAGUACAGAGUGAAGCUCAAUUUGAAGGAGAAUGCAAGUUCAAUAAGCAUUUGAAACCCAGACCUCACAGUGUGUCAGUAUUGGACUUUGGGGCUGUGGGUGAUGGAAAAACUAUUAAUACCGUCGCGUUUCAGAAUGCUAUUUUCUAUCUCAAGUCCUUUGCUGACAAGGGUGGAGCGCAGCUCUAUGUUCCUGCUGGAAAGUGGCUGACUAGAAGCAUCAAUCUUACUAGCCACCUUACACUGUUCCUGGAAAAGGAUGCUGUUAUUCUAGCAUCUGAGGUUAGCUUCUGAACUUUGUCUUAGUGUCCAUGUUGCAUUUCUUAUCUCUUUUUAUUUUUUUUGUGUUUUUAAACAAAAGACUAGCCUAGUUACAAUGCUAAAACAAUUUCAGCAUCGUGUAAUGGGGUUGUCAACCAUUGGUUUCAAGGAUGAGAUACAUUGGCACUUUGGGAUUAGGAUCUAUGGAUUACUAUUUCACAAAUAAAAUGAAAUUCUUGACAUAUACAUGGUAACUCCAAUAUAGAGGUUAACUACAUUAUAUGUUGUCACGACUGCAAUAACUUAAAUUUUGUUGAUGAUGGUUUUGAUAAGUGCUUCAGUUUUUAUCCAUAAACUUAGAUCUCUAAGCAUUUUAAUGCAUGUCGCGGUUAAUAUUUUGUGCAUUCACUAUUCAGGAUUUCGAUCAUUGGGAUGUAGUUGAAGCUUUACCAUCUUAUGGCCGAGGUAUUGAGGCACAAUAUGGAAGAUACCGCAGCUUGAUCUCUGGAAAUAAUUUAACUGAUGUUGUAAUAACAGGCAAGGAAUCCUUCAUCAAGUGGUUUAUAGUUUUACAUUCCUCUUUAUUUUACCUUUAUGCAACCUGCUUAUUUCUUAACAAUUCUGCAGGUAACAAUGGAACUAUCGAUGGCCAGGGCUCUAUUUGGUGGGAGAAGUUCAAUUCCCAUUCCUUAAAUUAUACUCGACCUCACCUAGUAGAGUUUGUUAGCUCCAGAAAUGUUGUUAUUUCAAACUUGACCUUAUUGAAUGCUCCUGGUUGGAACAUCCGUCCAGCAUAUUGCAGGUAACUCGAUUUAUCUGUAUAAGGAGUUUAAUGUUUCAUCUACUUUUGCUUGUUGUAAAAUCCGAGUUUAUCUAAUCCUUGAGAAAAUUUUAUGUCUUGCAGUAAUGUGGUCAUUCAGAACUUAACGGUUUAUACUCCACAAGACUCCCCGUUCACCAAUGGGAUUGUCCCAGGUUGGUUAAAAGAAAUCAUUAAUCUUAUUUGUUUUAAAAUGUCCAAGCUAAUUAAAAGCUGUAACCUUAGACCUUCACCAGUUAAAUGUUCAUAGGUCUUCAAAUAUAUAGCUUUGAUUUAUCUGACAUGCUUCCUCAAGCAAAGGAAAACAACAUUUUUAGGAUUAAAAAUUUAGCUGUUGAUAAAGAUUAAAUGCUAGCUCUCCAAAUACUGCUAAAAACUGAGUUCUGAUCACACGAGUUUUCUUUAGUAUCAUAGACACAUUUCUCUGGAUUUUAGUUGGGCAAAGAUGAAGUACUAGCUGUUUUUCCUCCCCUGAGUAAAUAUUCUUAUGAUUGGCACAUGAGCCCAGAAUAGAUUUGUCGUUGAGACGAUGUGAAAUAGUUAGGCCUGAUGUUUUGUGAAAACAUGUAUAUUGGUUCCCCUUGUUUUUCUUUUUUUAUUCAACAAAAGAAGGAUUGGUAACUCUAGACUUGACAUGCAACCUUAUGUCCACUUUUCAGAUUCUUCUGAGCAUGUCUGCAUUGAAAACAGCAACAUUAGCAUGGGUUACGAUGCUAUCGUUCUUAAAAGUGGUUGGGAUGAGUAUGGGAUUUCCUACGGGAAACCUACCUCAAAUGUCCACAUUAGACGAGUGAGGUUACAGUCCGCUGCAGGUGCUGGCGUGGCUUUGGGUAGUGAGAUGUCUGGUGGUAUCUCCGAUGUGCUAGUAGAGCUUAGUUCCCUACAUGACUCCCUUUUCGGUAUUGAGCUGAAGACAGCAAGAGGAAGAGGUGGUUUCAUCAAAGAUAUUCUCAUUUCAAAUGUUGUUAUGGAUAACUUGCAAGUGGGAAUCAAGGCCACUGGUUACUCUGAUACGCAUCCAGAUGAGAAAUAUGAUCCUUCUUCGUUACCUACAGUUAGUGGAAUCACCUUUGAGGACAUUAUUGGUACAAAUAUCUCGAUAGCAGGCAAUUUCACCGGGCUAUCUGAAUCUCCCUUCACUUCUAUAUGUCUAUCAAAUAUCUCUAUCUCCAUUUCAUCUGACCCUUCUACACCAUGGUUAUGCUCUAAUAUAUCAGGCUCUUCUAAAAAUGUGUCUCCUGAACCAUGUCCCGAGCUUCAAGGAUCAUUUUCCAGUUGCUUUGCUCUUCCAAACCCAUACACUGAAGUUGCAGUUUUAUAAUCCUACCCUGAUUGGAACUACUAUUCAUUCAUUGAACCUGAACAACGAGGCACAUAUCGUGUUCUGGUUCUGGUGUACAAUCUUCCAAUAAGAUGCAAGUCAGAAUCUUCGGUCUCAUGGUUUACCAAGUCAACGUCAAAAAACUCUGGUGAGCAUUCUCUUCAACGCAGCAGCAUAUCGUUCCUGUGUACAGCAUCAGUUUCUUUUAUUCAUGUGUAAGAAAAGUUUUGGUAGUUCAGUAAAUUCAGAUACGUUGUUCCUUCUCGUGUCAUUCUUCAUUUGAUUUUUUCUUUUUACGAAAUUGUCUUACAUUUGUAAAUUGGGUUUAUGGAGACUGCAGUAAGAUUGGUUAAUGCUUAUAUGGUUGAAGGGGUGUUAUUGUUGAUUGUCAUUGUUGCAAUAAAAGUUCUAGCCAUUUCAUUUAAACAUACAAAGCCUAUUCUUCCUUCUUUGGUUAGAGAAACAUUUGAAGAUCAUGAGGAAACAGUUUGUAAUGCAGAACAAUUUAAGUUUAUUUCAUUCAUUCCUUUGAUUUAAGUUAAGGUCCUGUUUGUAUCCAGUAAGCUUGUAGGCUUGUAGCCAUUGCUGAUUGUUGCUCCAAAGGUAAUCCAGAAGAAUGUUGAAAUACUGCAGCUAACUUGAGAGGAAACAUGAUUUGAGCACUAUUCUCAAACUAUACAAUGAAUUAUUGGCAACAGUAAUUGUCUCUAUAUGACCUAUAGGUCACAGGUUUGAGAGGCCGUGGAAACAAUCAUUAAUGUUUGCAUUAGGUUAGACUAUCUACAUCAUACUCCUACAAGUGUGGCCUUUCCUUGAACCCUGCUAAUGUGAAAUGCUCUAUGCAACGAGCUGCUCUAUGCAAUGCCCUUUCCUUGAGAACGAUUCUCUAACUAUACAAUGAAUUAUUGACAACACUAAAUUGUCUCUAUAUGACCUAUUGGUCACAUGCUCGAACCGUGGAAACAGUCACUAAUGCUUGCAUUAAGUUAGUUAAACUGUCUACAUCAUACUCCUUCAGGUGUGACCUUUCCUUGAACCUUGCUAAUGUGAAAUGCUCUGUGCAAUGGCCUUUCCUUGAGCACUAUUCUCAAACUAUACAAUGCAUUAUUGGCAACAAUAAAUUGUCUCUAUAUGACCAAAGGUCACAUGUUCGUGUUGUGGAAACAAUCACUAAUGCUUGUAUUAGGUUAGACUGUCUACAUCAUAUUCCUUUAGGUGUGGUCUUUCCUUGAACCCUGCUAAUGUGAAAUGCUCUAUGCAAUGGCCUUUCCUUGAGCACUAUUCUCAAACUAUACAAUGAAUUAUUGGCAACACUAAUUUGUCUCUGUAUGACCUAUUGGUCACAUGUUCGAGCCGUGGAAACAGUCACUAAUGCUUGCAUUAGGUUAGAUUGUCUACAUCAUACUCCUUCAGGUAUGAGCUUUCCUUGAACCCUGCUAAUGUGAAAUGCUCUGUGCAACGGCCUUUCCUUGAGCACUAUUCUCAAACUAUACAAUGCAUUAUUGGCAACAAUAAAUUGUUUCUAUAUGACCAAUAGGUCACAUGUUCGAGUUGUGGAAUCAAUCACUAAUGCUUGCAUUAGGUUAGACUGUCUACAUCAUGCCUAUUCCUUUAGGUGUGGCCUUUCCUUGAACCCUGCUAAUGUGAGAUGCUAUGUGCAACGAGCUACUCUUAACAUCAACAAAAUAUCAUAACUUCAUACGAUACGGGAAUUUUAGCAACUUUAGAAUCAAUAAGAAAAUAAAUGUACAUAAUCAAGGUUGAUAUACACGUCUUUUUUUGGGCAUGUUGCCAUUAAGGGAUUCAUCAAAGCAGAAACUAAAAUCUGAAAAUUUAUCAAAUUCACUUGUCAUGUCUGAAAACAGCUUUUGAAGCUCCUCCAAUGUGUUUUCUCCCUGUUACAAUUUACAAAUUUCAAUCACCAACUUAUUACAAAUACUAAAAAAUACAUGAAACCAAAAAAAAAAAUGAAAAAGGUACUGAAGGCAAAUUACCUUAGAUUUCUCAGCUUCCAUCAUUGUUUUCAUUUCUUGCAUAAACUCACAGAAUUCCUGUUAUGUUAAAAGUGAGCAAGUAGAAAUGAAUACUUUUUUUUAUAAAUAUAACUGACAAGUAAAAAUGAACGGAGAAAUUAUGAUGAAGUCAGAAGAAGAUAGAAACUGACUUUAUCAUCAUCAGAAUCAUCUCCCAUGAGGUGAAGCAACCUAGUGUCAUAUAGUGAUCUUUUCCUCUGGUCUGAGAGAACUGCAAAUUGAUAGAUAUAUAUGGUCAAUGAAAACAUAUAUGGUUAUAUAAAAUUGAAGCGGAAUUAGAAUUUUAAUUUGAUAGAUUCAAUCGGUAGGUAAUUCAUUAAACCCCUUGCUUAUUAAUAUGCUUUUAAGCUUAUGUGUCCAAAAAAUAGAUACGUAAGGUCUGUUAGGUCAAAACGAACAAUAAGCACAUGCUAUGUGACAUGUGACAUGUGACAUGUAAAGUGCAUUAAUUUGGUGGGGAGGAGGUUAAGAAGGUAAAUUCACAUACCAGAAUAAGCUUCUUGAACUUGUUGAAAUCUAUGUUUAGCUUCUCCCCUAAUGCAAGGAUCCUUCUUCAUCCAUCUAUCUGGGUGCCAUUUCUUCAAUCAACACAUAAAAUAAAUCAUAAAUCAAAAGAUAUAAGUAAAAUAGAGCACAACACAAAAAAUGAAACAAAAUCUCGUGAUCGUAAACAAGUCAGGUAAAAUAUUAAAGAGUUAUCAAAUGUAGAAAGAAACAUGGUCAAAUCUAGACGUUCUUAUAUCAGCUCAUGAAAACUCAAUAGUUUUUACCCUGAACCCUUUAUAUAUAAUAAGUUUGUGUUUGAUCAUAAAUUUGUUGAAAUUUGAAAAAGAAAGGAGUUUUAAAAUUGUGUUAAAAAAUAAUUCUUCAAGUACAUUUUGGAUUAUUUUUUUUUUAAAAAAAUUUUAUGAGUGAAAGUAAAAUUUACUCGAAAAUUGGCUCAGGCCAGUUUCUGGAACUUGAAUAUCUGAUUUAAUUUCAUGAACAAACAAUAUUUACAAUUAUUAUUUUUAAAUCUACUCUAAAAAUCUAUGGCCAAAGGGAGCUAUAUAUAUAUAUAUAUAAAACUUAUAUCGUUGUAGAAAAUUGUACACUUUAAAUAUAAAAAAAUAUAUUUUAAAAUAGACUAAAAAAAAACAACAAUUAAAUGGAAGAGUUAAAAACUACCAGGGCAAGCUUUUUGUAAGCACAACGAAUUUCAGAAUGUGAGGCUUGUUUACAGAUUCCAAGAACAUCAUAGUAGCAGGAUCCUCCAUUAUUGUUGGACACAAAUUCCAUUUUCUUGAACAAACAAAUUAAAGGGAGAGAUUUUAUUUUAUUUGGUGAAUAUAAUACUAAUAUAUUGCUCACUUGGUUUUAGCGUACAAGGAAAAAGGUUGUUAAUUUGUUAAGGUUUUCGUAGGUCCAAGAAAUGAAUUUAAUAAUAAUCACAGAUAUCACAUGAUUCUAGAAGGGAGAUUUAUUCAUAAGAAGUUUCUAGAUCUUUAUUACUCCAUCCGUUUCAAAAAUAAUGGUCUAGUUUGACUUGACACAGAGUUUAAGAAAAUAAAGAAGACUUUUGAAUCUUGUGGUCCUAAAUUUAAGUUAUGUCAAAUGUACAAAAUUGUCCUUUCAUCUUGUGGCCUUAAACAUGCCACGUGAAAAGCUGAAAUUAAAAUGUUACCAAAAAAAGAAAGAGAUCAUUCUUUUUGAAAUUGACUAAAAAAGAAAGGAGAUCAUUCUUUUUGAAACGAAGGGAGUAUUACUUUUAGAAACUAUAUUGAUUUCUAGAAGUGUUGUUAUACCCACAAAUUGUGCAAGUUGAGUAAAAUGUGUAUGUGGUGUUCCUAUGAGGGAGGUACUAUGUGGUCACUGUCUUCCUUCUAGAAAUUUCUUGCAUCUCUAUAAUUUUACUUGUUGAUGGUUACGGGUGGUUUGAUAGCUAGUUAAAAUUAAGAAAAGGCUAGAAUUAUUUAUAAGAGAAUUUAUAUAUGAUUUUAUAUAAAUAUUAGAACAACGAUAUAGAAUUAGAAAAAAAAGCAAGUACUUUAGUGGAAAAUAGUGAUUAGUGAGAGAUUGACUAUAUAAGGAGAGGUAGAGGUAGACCGUAAAAGUCUUGAAAAAAAGAUGAAUAGACUUGACAUGAUUUACAUGUAAUUUAUCAAGGACAUGACCUUAGGUAGAAAAAUAUGGAGAUCGAGGAUUAUGAUAGAAGGUUAGUAGGUUGAGUGUUGUCUAGUACCAUUUUUUGUAAUGUUAUAUUACUUUCUUACUGUCUUAUUCUUUGAUUUUAGUAUUACCUUAUGUUUUAUUUGCUUUAGUUAUCGUUCUCUUUUCUAGCAUCUCAACUAUGUUCUCUUCUUUUCAUUGUUUUCAGCAUGGUUUUUUCGCUAUUGUAUUGGUUUGGCAUAUUGGAUUUUUAUAUGCUUUACUUGAUUCGAGGAUCUAUCGAAUACAACCUUAGUACCUUCACAAGGUAGGGGUUAAGGCUUCGUACACAACACCAUCACCGCACCUCACUUGUGAAAUUACACUUGUGUAUGUUGUUGUUGCUCUCUUUCACCAGCACAAAUAUUGAAUAACUUUGUCCAUAAAAAUUGCAUGAAUGGAAAAAAAAUCACCUAAUAUUUUUGUUUGACUCAUGAAAAAUCCACCUACACACUCCAACUGCUUACUUUUGAAUAAUUUUCAACCCACUUCAUCGACCCCUAUACCUUACCUUUGGGUUUUUCUUUCCAUUUAGAAAAUUGGGAUGAUUCCCUUACUUCCUUUUCUUGUCUAAGGACCUCAACUCUUAAUCAUCUAUAUUCAGAAUACCCUUUUGCCUUCAUUGUUUUCAUCAUUGAACAUACCUGGGACAACAUUGUUUCCCACUAUGUGAUCAUAAUCUGUAACAGCCAGGACAUCAAUAAAACUAAGAAACAGAGAAAAUUAAUAGUUUCAUAAUCAACUUCAGUUUUUUUACUAUAAAGCACAACCAAAAUAAAUUCAAUAUGUGCAAAAUGUACAUGUCGAAUCCUCAACUGUGACACAAAAUGUUAUAUGAAAGUACAACCUUUGAAGAUCUUCACACUGCUCUCUAUCAAAAGAACUUGAACUCUACAAAUCUAAUGAUGUAAAGAUUACACGCAACAGAAUUAUUGCCUUUUCAUAUAAAUCAAAAUACAAAUUUUGAAGGGAAUGAUCAAAUAGGCCAGAGAGAGCCUCUGUUGGUAAAGCAAAAAACAACUCUCUCAUACACCCCUCUGAAAUAAUAACAAAAAAAAUAAAAGAAUUGGAAACAGCUUGGCGAUAAUACAUCCUUACUACUUCCUGUUUCCUGCUUUUCGCUUAAUUUCAGUUGGCAUGGCAUGCCUCCCAUUCCGCUGAGGUGUAUGGCCAAUUCCAUUUAUCUUUCGUGAUGGUGAAGGCCCUACUUUGUAAGGCAUGUUCCUGCGACAAUCAGUUAAAUGAAAUGAGCCCGAAUCGAGUAGAACAAAUAUGGAGGAUGCUUAUAACCGACCCUUACUGGUUUGGAGAUUGAAAUGUAGUUGAUUGAUUGAUCAACUCUUCAAGUGUUUAUAAAUAGGUGAAUGAACGAGAGACUACCUUGUUUCUGGGCUCUUUGCAUGCUUUGGAUUUGAUCUCUGGAUCCUUGACUCAUUCCCAUUGGUCAAACUGUUUAGUUUGGAAUUAUUGAAUUGCCAAAGCAAAUCUGGAUCAGACGAAUCACUGGUCGUGGCAUCAAAUUCUUCCAGCUCAUCAGCAGGAGUGAUGUCAAAGUGGUCACCCAAUGGGAUAAGCUUACUUGAUUUUUCUUGGCAUAAUUUAGAUGAUUCUGAAAGGUAUUUCUGAGCAAAGGCAUCAGACAUGCCAUUUUCAGAUUCCCAAUAUCCAAAGGGCUUCCCCACUCCAUGGAUAGUGUCCUGUUUGUUCACCAUUACUUUGUCUACCCACUCACCUGUGCCCAUAUCUUUAUCAUAUCCCACGUAGUUUUCACAUGGACUGUUGACUGGUGGCCAUGGAGGAGAAUUUCCUAGUAACUCAUCAAGAUCAUAGCUUGGCUUCUUUUGUCUGAAUGCAGAAUUACUGGAUAUCUGCACAUUAGUAGAUGUCAAAGCAAGGUCUUGCAGAUUACAACCACAUGCAUCAAAAUGGAUGCUGAUAAGAAACUUCUAUAAAGUUUUCGUACUUUUACAUGGGAGAGGCAGGUAGUUAGUCUCCACUUCUCUUCUUCUCCUUAUUUAGUCGUAUUAGUUAGUAUUCACGUAAUAUCUUAUUCUUCUUCUGCUCUGUUUAUUUUGCUAUGUUGCUAUAUUUUCCUUUCAAUCCUGACCUUGAUUACACUUAUUUUGAGCCGAGGGUCUAUCAGAAACAACCUCGCUACCUCACAAAGAUAGGGGUAAGGUUUGCAUAAAUUCUACCCUCCCCAGACCCCACUUGUGGGACUACACUGGGUAUGUUGUUGUAAGAAACUUCACUAAUGGUAUCUUGUGCUUUAGUUUUGGUAUAAGCUUAUUCAAGUUUAGUGCUCUUCCAAGCAUUGCUGCAUCUAUUUAUUGUUUGAGCUAAAACACCACUAAACACUAAAAAACUUUGAUAAAUUAUUCUUCAAUAGAAGAGUUUGUAUUGUGUAAUAAAUAAUUGCACUUCGAGAGAUAAUCAAGUCUAGAGACUCUACCUCUAUGUUGCCUACAUCGUCCAUUGGUCUCCUCUGGACAUUUGAGUCGCCUAGAAUUUCUCUUUUCAGUGGGUUAAAUUGAAUGGGUGAUGGCUGCAUGCCACAUGGACUGCUCAUUACCUUAUGCUGCAUGGGAACUGACUCCUCUUCCUUUUUUGCUAGUGCUGCUUUCAAAGUUGCAAUCUGAUAAAACAAAGAUAUUGUUCUUCAGAACAAAUCAAUCUAUACUAGGAAUACUUUUUAUACUGGAAAGAAAAAGCAAUUAAAAGGAAAAAAAAGAAGAAAAGAAAACCUGUUCUUUGAGCUCUUUGACAUCUGUAGAGUCUUUGUUUACUCGUGCAGCGCCUAGUUCAACAGUAGAAACACGUUCUGCAAAUUUAAGUGUGCUAAUUGUUUCUCCUACUGCUUCAGGCUCAGGGCUUAUGUGAACGAACAUCAAAGUUUUGGCUUGCCCUCCUACAAAAAAGUCAUAUACCAAAAACCAAUCAUUACUAGACAGAAAGAAAAGAGUCACAAGAACAAUCGAGUUUCAUCAUUUAGCUUAUAUCCUACCAAGUGAGUCUUGAAGAAGCUGUGUAAGUUUGCUGUUACGGUAUGGGACAUGUGCAUUCUUUUGGGCAAGAGCAGAGAUAACAUCACCCAAAGCUGAAAGAGACUUGUUAAUGUGCUGAGCCUCUUUAAGUCUAUCUCCUGUUACUUCAGAUUUGUUCACUCUCUCACUUCCUGCAAGAUCAACCAAAUGCAUACAACCACGAAGAAUAGCUCCAGAAGCCAUGUCUCUUCCCUGAACAUGAACUGUUAGGCAACUGCACAUUCAAGACCAGAAAGAAUUAGCAUCUCCACUAUAAGUUUCUUACAAAGCACUAGAAAGUAAAUUAAGAGAAAGAAAAGAUUCUGCAUUCAGACCUGUGGGAGCGGCUACUGCGGUCGUUGAGCGCUGUUGCACCCACUGAACGAUUCUUUUGCCCUAAAUUCAUCAGAUCAAUAACAUCACAAGUUGAAGCUACAUGAACCAAGCUCGCAUCUGGUACAGUUAGUCCUUGAGAAGCACUACGGAUUUCUAACGUAAUUUUGGGUUAAGGAAUGCAGGAAGUUUAAGGCUUUAAGCACGAGGGGUUGAGAAUGAACAUGUUGUGUAAGAACACAUAGCUUAAAGUCAUUUAAAAGUUCUAAUAUAAGAAUGUUUGUUGCCAAACAUUCAAUAUGGACAGAAGAAGACUAGUAAAGAUCAUUAAAAUGUAAAUGACAAGAUAUUGAGAAGGAUAUCUUUUGUUUACACCAUCAGAAACUAGGAGAUCCCUAACUUGCUCAUUGUAUAUUUCAAUCAUCUGUACAGACACAUCAUAGUGGACGAUGUCCUUUCUUUGUUCUGUGAGAAGGAAUAGAUCACCUAAGGCCCUGUAGUUUACUCCUUGACUUUGUUCUGUGAGAUUGUUAGGUCCCGUCUGAAUACAGCAAAGGAGCUUCUUAGCACAUACAACAGAAAGAAUAAGAUUUUACUUGUGAUGGAGAUACUUUUCUUUAACUAACCAUUGUGUAGGUCUUUCCUGAUCCUGUUUGGCCAUAAGCAAAAAUGCAGACAUUAAAGCCAUCAAGAACUGAUCUUAUCAGUGGUUGCGUAUCAGAAAAUACUUCGCCUGCCAAAAAAGUAAGAAGUGGAAACCACUGAAGAAAGCUGAGGGGUCACAGAAUCAAAAGUAAAGAUUCCAAUCUUUAUAAAAGUUAAGCAUUAAUACCAUUUUACCAACAUUAUAUGCUCUUUUAUAUUUGACAUUUACCUUGAGUUGAGCAAGAUCCAAAUACUUUAUUGAAGUUGAAAGACUUCCGCCCUCUGCCAUUCUUUGAUGGAAUACUAAUUGUGAUGGUACCAUCUUCUAUGUGAUCCACAGAACUAGCAGAAUUAGACUGCCCAGGCAAAAAGGGUCUUACUCGACAGUAAACCCUUAUGCUUCCUAAUUGAGCAGAAACAGACAACCGUCAGUUCAAAGGCUGAGUAAGAGAUGAAGAAAGACACAAUGACGUGGUCUAACACAUAAGAAUGUUACCUUUAAGGUCCUGAACUUGAUUAUAAAGCUUGCGAUUUUCUUCAAGAACUCUAUGAUAACCAGAAGCUGCAUGAGCUAGGCCAUUUAUGUGCACGCCUACAAUCCAACAUAUAAUUAGGUGGAAAUGCUCAAUCAAGGAAUAAACAUAAAUCCAUGAGAUCCCCACACCACACAACCAAAAAAAAUAAUGAAUUGUGCAAUAUUCCUACCAAUAUUAUGCAUUUCCUCAUGAAACUUCAUCUGCAUGAACUGCAUACCCGCUUUGGUAGUCAAAAGAGUUUCCUUCAGGUUCUACAAUAGGACAGUAAGGCUCAUAAGAACAUAGAGGAGAAAUUGAAAUUUUCAUCUUUGAGGGUCUAGUCAUGCCUAGCGAUCCUCAGUGCUUACCUUAAUGUCUCUUUGCUGUUGGUCAACUAUGGUGUAAUGUUUCACAUAUCUUCUUUCAAGUUCUUCAUCCGGCAAGGAGUCCGCUUUCUUCUCAAGGGUCACAUUCCUUUGGUCAACCUAAUUUAGAAGGAAGAAAAAAUUGCAAAUAUGAGGGAUCAUGUCUUUUGACAUGAAAUUGUACUUCUCUAAUUAAAACAGGUGGACAUUGUAAAUUAGAUACCUCACCUUUGCACUAGCAGAAGUCUGUCUCAUGAGGGAUUUGUUAUCACAAGAACCAGUUGAAUCAUCUGUAGUUGCUUUACUCUGAUGGAAGGAUGUUACAUGGUGUGUCAGAGCAUAAGAUGACACAUGUAAAUAACAUUACAAAUGUAGAGUAACUAUUUUACUUUUUCUUAUUUGUGUAGGUAUUGUAAGAAGGAAUCAAAGGAUGGAGUCAAUAAAACGAGUUUAUACAAGCAUAAAAAUGGAAAGAGAAAACUGAGAGCACUGAAUCAAUUGUGACUACUAUGGAAGUUAGAAUCCAACUUCAACAAUGAAUAAUCUAGUAAUUAGAAGAUAGAUGAAUAUUAGUAAACCUACCAAUUCAAUUUUGCUUGCAACGCGUUGCUCAAAUUCCUGAACUACCUUGUUUAACACAGACUCCACAAGCUGUAGCAUGCAUAACAUUUCUGAAGUUUAGAACAAAUGGCACUAUAUACCAAAUAAAAUCACAGAUUAUAGCUAAUAACUCUCCAGCAGUUUACAGGUGCUGAACUGCAGGAGUUUGCAGGAAGUUCUACCAUCACAUGCAUAUCAUAGGUUGGGUCAAACAAAGAUUUCAUAUCUUUAAAGUAAAUGAUUGUGGAAAAUGUUUUUCUAGUUAAGAUAAUGUCUAGUUAACAUAUAUGUGAAAGAAAUUCUGGUGCAGGAUUUGACGGUCAUGAGUUGUUAUGACAAUACCAGACAAAAGAAUUUUAAAGUCAUCAGAGAGGACAUCAACCAUAUCUGAAGAGCUAAUCGUGUACAUUGCUUUAAAUGCAGAAGGUCAAUAUUUCUGAUGACAAGGAACCAAACAAUAUUGAACUUGUGCAUUAAAAAAUACUCAUAAUUUACAGUGAAAUCAAGAAUGAAGAAAUAUUUUUCAACUGUCAAGCUAACAAGGAAAAGCCUGAGUGACAAGGGGUUCCAAGGACUACAAGGUCCAGAGUUAUAUUCUACCAGACAACAAGGUCAUUUAUACACCUAACAGUAAAUUAACUUCCCAUCUCCAAUUUCCCCAGCAAAGAAUUUUCCAUAAUCAACUCAAAAAGAAAAUUCAAUGUGAGGAAAUAACAUCUCAUAAGAAAUAAAAUCUUGGGCUAUUACAAUGUUAAACAAUUUCCUACUAGUCUAAGUUCACUUGAUUGUUUUUCUACAAGUCUAAGUUCAUUUGAUGCUUGUGUGACACUCCUUACUUCAGCUGAAAAGAUUGAACUAGUGAAAGUAAUUUGAAGAAAAAUGUAGGAACAAGUGAAAAGAUUUGAGGCUUUCGCAGAAUGGCUUCCACAUUACACUACAAAAAUGUAAAAGGAGAGUUUAUCAAACUUAAUGAAUUUCAACUUACAUUAGGAACCUCUUCUGGCUUCUUAUCAGUUAGAAUUGCACGAACAAGCAUGCUCAAGGAAGAGCUGGACUGUAAGGAGAAGAGUUGUUUAAUGUAUCGUCCACUGAAUUCAUUAUUCUCAAUGAAUGUAAUGCUUUCCUCAGUCAAGCAGAGGUUACCUACCGUUUUGUUUGUUUCAGCUUCAAUGCAUGCACCAUUUAUAGGUUUCUCAUAUAUACUCCUUGACAAUGAAUUUGUGAAUGGCUCCGAAUUUUUCCUCACAAUUUGUUUCACUGAUGCAUUUGAUUUUAUAUUUCCACCAAAUUUCCAGACUCCGGUAUUACCUUCUUGCUUCCAAUCACUGUAGGAUUUAAGUCCCAAAACACAAUUCACGAUCCUUGAUGAUUUUCCUCCCUGAUAAUUGUCAAGAAUGCAGCUCUAUCAUUCAAUGACUCCUUACUUUUAUAGAAGUUCCAAUAACAAUCAUGAGAAUGUCUGUACAACAACACUGGGACUCAAUUUACUAAGAGUCCCAUUGUGAUAAUAAACUACUUUGGACCCCCAUCAAAUGCACUUAAAACUUACCUGCUCCAGGUCAGAUGCCUCAAACAAAGGAAUCCCCAAUUCUUGCACAGCAACUAAAAAGUUUCUGACAUUCUCAAAGUACUGGUAUGCAGACAAGGCAGGUCCAUCUGAGGUAAUUGCAGAGUCACAUGGACUCUCAACAACCUGUAGUAGUUGAUCAAUGAUAAAGGUCAAUCUCUGAAAUGAAAAAACAACAAUUCUGCCAAGAAAUAGGUCCAUUAUCAAGAAUCUUCUUUAAUCUUAAACUUGCAAUUUUCCUUUUCGAAUGAUCAAUCUCUACCAGUAUUGGAUUGAGGGAUAGUUGAUUGAUUGGUUGAUUUCCUUUAUUAUAAUUCGGGAGUUGAUGGGGUUGGAUUGAUUACCUUGGGCACAGCUCCAGGUUGAAUUUUAUUGAGUACAUUGCAAAGGAUCAUUCCACUCCUUAAACCAAGCCUGAACUCUUCCUCAGAUGGUUCAGCUGGCAAACAUUUAGCUCCAACAAUUCCAACUAUCUUUCUUAUCCACGCUGCUGCAUCAUACCUCCUUCUUGCUACAAUUCAGACAUAGGAUCAUCAGAUCACUCUCAACAUCAAUGAUUUGGAAAUGAUAGUUCAAAUUUCCAACUUAUGCUUCUUAAAAUCACGUGAACAUGCUAGUAAUUACAUUGAAUCUACAGCCUCAUCGCUCAUGAUCAGCCACAAAGUAAAAGACCCAAAAUAUUUUUAAAAAAAACUAAAAAUCAGUAGCAGAAAAGAACAGUAAAAGUUACCAGCUUCUUCUGCUUUACGGGCAUCCAAAUCAAGAUUUCUUGAUCGGCUAUUGUUUCCAUGCUGCUGAAGAACAUCCUCUACCACAGACGUCACCGAGAAAGACAAUGCUCCAUCAGCCGCCAUUUUUUAGUUCAAACAGCUAAAGAAACCACCUUUAUCUUGAUAAUACUAAUGAAUUCCUAAACAUCAAAGUUCCCUAAAAAUCAACAGAACCCCAAUCAGCAAAUUAUCUGAAAGAACCCAAGAAUGAAAGGUCAGACAUCAAAUCUCCCAAAACCAACAAAACCCCAAGUAGCAAAUUAUCUCAAAAAAUCCAAGAAUGAUAGGUCAGACAUCAAAUUCCCAACAACCAACAAAACCCCAAGUAGUAAAUUCUCCAAAAGAACUCAAGAUUAAGAAUUCAGAGCUCAGAACAAGAUCUAAACUGAUUAACAAAGUUCAGAGAAGACACCCAAGUAAUAAAGAUUCAAUCUUUUUCUCUGUAAUCUUCUUCUUGUACACACUACUAACUCAUUCACCAAAUACAAAUUACACUACAAAGUACUAGUAAUGUGUUAUAGACUUCAGUUUUUGGCUUGCUUGAUUCCUUUUUCUCUGCUUUUUUUCACCUACCCCUCAAACUCAACUCACCUCUCUCCCCACGAAAUGCAAGAAAAGCGCUUUAUUUGCUUUAUACAAACAACAAAAAAAGAGAGAAAGAAAAAACUGCUGCUUUGAAUUGAAUUUUGUAGAAUUUUAGAAGACACGUAGUUCCGAGCCUAAUACCGAACCCCAUUUGAACCCAAUUUUUUUUUCUCUCUCUCAGCGCGUUGUACGACUCUUUUGUCAAGCAGGUGGUUAAGUAUUUGGGAGUAGAAUUUAUAUUUUAAAGUAAAAGUAAAAAUGUAUGAACUACUCUUUACAAUAUAUAUAUAAUCAAAAUUUUAUAGCAUUACCAUGUCAGAGUACGCAGAUUCAGGAGUUGAAGUUUAUGAAUUUCUACUAUAAUUUCAAUUUAAUAUACAAAUAAUAACUGAAAUUAUAGUCGAAUAAUUAGCAUACCAAUGAAAUUCCACUUGAUAGAUAUGAGGAAGAGGGGGAUAGAGUGUAUGUUGAUCUUACGUUUUGUGAAGGUAUAAAUAUUUAGUAGUACGAUCGAAUGUUAGUGGGUUCUCAUUAACUCGCGUAUUACCUAUGGAUUUGCGCUUAUUUGUCAUUAAUUUGUUUGUCGUAUUUUUCCUUUUAAAUUCAUUUUAGAAAAAAUGUCUUCUUUUUUUUUUGCUACUCUUUAUUUUAACUUUUCAUAUGACAUCUUUUAGAACACAAUAAGACAUUUUUGUUCAUUUUACAUAUCUUUAAUGUAAGUCCAUUAGAUUUAAAAGUCAUCAUUAUUUUCUUAAAUUUUGUGUCAAUUAGAAUAGAAGGAGUAAUAAAGAACCAAAAAAAAAUUACGGUGAAGUGAUAACUACUUGUUAGUUUUUAAUAGGAGAUUUUGGAUUUGUAGAUUUAAUCAGAUCCAAAAUAAAUAUCAGGUAUUAGGGUGAAAAUUAAAAUAAAAAAUAAACAAUAAUAGUGAUAAUAAUAAUAAUAAGGAAAUUACUUAUUUUAGAAGUAUUCUUUUGUCUCUAAAUAGUUUAUUCAUAAUACCGCAAACCAAAUAUUGCAUCAUGCAUUCGAUGAUUAUAUUUUUCUCAUGCGACCAACUAUAAAUGUUGCAUAUCAAAUUGUUAGUACUUAUUUAAAUUAAUCUUUUAAAAAAUAAUCUCAAGUUUAGUUUUAAAAGUUGUUACUGGAGAUUACAAGUCUAGUUUUGUAUAAGUAAUUUAAUUUAACAAAAAUAAUAAUCUUGCUUGAUUGCACAAAUAAAUAAAUUAAAUUUUGUACGACAACAAAUAAAGGUGCAUCAUGUGAUUUCAAAAGUUAUUUAAGGGAAAGGAAUGUUUCUUAAAUUGAUUGAUUCGCACCACAAUGUAAAGAAUCCAAUGGGGCAAUAGAGGAGGCAAAAGAAAAAAGAUAAUUGGUUUGUUCGAUAUGAAGAAAAAUAUUUUUAAAAAAUAAAUAAAUAAGUUUGUUAAGUAAUUUUUUUACUUAUUUUCUAAUAAACAUUUGGCACUUAAGCAUGAAUUUUUAUUUUUAUUUUUUUAAAUUAUAUAUAAUCUAGAGAAACACUCUAAUAGGGAUGUAGUGGAAUGAGGGGUGGAUAGAGUGCUGAGUAAUUCGAAACGGCUCGUGAUCUUCAACCAAUUAUGCGAUUCAAUAUAAUUAUUGAGGGUAAGUGCUAUAGUUUGUUUCCAAUACUCAACGGCUUGAUUGAACUAAGUCUCUGCAAUUUCAGAAUCUCCCUGUUGAAUAGCAUGUUCUCCCCUGCCGGAAUAGGUAGUUCAAUUUCUUCCCUUAGAACCGUACUUAAGAAUUUCUUAUCUCAUACGGCUCAGUAGUCAAGACUUUUGGUGUCCCAUUUUAAUCUAUACCAUAUCUAAUAAAAUAUAAUAAGAUUUCUCACACAUGAAGAAGUCUAGAACUAGAAGACUUAACAUCUACUACAUAUACAUAAAAAGUUAUUAUUGAUUUUCCAUCGAAGGAGGUUUGGGUAAACCCAAGCCUUUACCCCCACUUGGCUCCGCUCCAGCGCUCCUGAUGGGUUGUUAGAGACGGAGAGACAAUCGAUGUGAAAUAUGAAACUUGUUUUUUCUAUUUUCACUAGAAAAUUAAUUUAAAAUAUAUAUAUACCAACUAAACGUACAAAUUCCAUAUAAUUAAAAAUAAAAUUUGUUACACAAUUCUGACAAGAAUGGGUCUUUUAUAAUUUUCUAGAGCAUCAAGCAACAGCUACAUUUUCAAAAAGUGUUACUGUUUUAUCCCUUUAUUUCUCAAUAAUUAUUCAAUUCAAUUCCAACAAAAAAAAAGUCUUAUCUUUUGAAGCUGCAUGCAUGUUUAUAUUAUAAUAAAUGGAGUAAUAAAUUAUUGGUAUUUGAAAUUUAAAAAAAUUGGCCAGCAGAAAACGAUGAAAUAUGUCACCUUCAAAACAACCUAAUAUCACUGUUUAUUAGCCCACAAAAGAACUAAAUAUAUACAACUAUAGUAGUUGACAAUUUAUUUCCCCCCAAAUUAAAUUCAAAAAAAACAUUUCAAAAUUGUGUUACUAUACAAAUUAGUCAAGUUCUUUUAUUAUUGCAUAUUCAACUACUUUAAAUUUCCUAUCCAAAGGAAUGGCUAGAUUUUAUUUAUUAGUACAAAGUUGGAUAUCAAAUUCUUAUUCAUUUUAAAUACAUAUUUACUCCUGUAUUUAAUUAAGAACUAUAGUACGUAAGUUAUUACAAGUCAUAAAGUACCUCUAGACUAAAGCCAUUGAAUUUUUAGAAAUAUAGAAUUCAUAAACAAACUUUGCCCGACAAGCAUACAAUCGAUUUGAUUUGAAUCACACCCUCACUUCAUGUCUUCUGACAGCGGUUAGAAAGAAAAUGAUCACUCUAUCUUUCUCAUCCGAUUUCUAUCGUAUUGCCCAAAGGCUUCUCUUUUUAUUGUGCUCGUUGGAUCAUUAAGCCUAGGUUUGGAAGCUUUGAUAUUAUAGUAAUUACUCCUAUUUAAUUUCUUCUCAUGCUUGUGCUUGGAUCUUUAGGACUUCCCCUUUUCUUUUAAGGCACUUCCUCUUUGUGUCACUAUUGUUGUUCUUCUUCAAUUAUAUCCCUUUGUAAAUCAUAUAGGAUACGUAAAUUAUAUAAGUUUAAUUCAAUGCGACGAGCCCAACUGGCCUCUAACCUCUGAUCUCCUUAUGGUAUAUCACUUGCUGCACUAACUCAGUUUUUUACUGAUUCCAAUAUGUGUAAUAUCGUUAUUAUUAUAAUUCAUUAUUUUGAUCAUCAAAUCAAAUGAAAAACCUCAUUAGAAAGUUAAAAUAAAAUUCCAAAAUCUCAAUCUUAAAUAUUGUGCCACCACUUACUAAUUAAUGGGCCACGUCUCAGUUAGGCUAAAGGUAACCAUCAAAUUUGUUGUUAGACGGUUACCUAUUAAUUAAUCAUUCACAAUAACAAAAUUAACCUAGCUUAAUUCAACUAACUAUGCACUAAAAUUUCAUUAGACUUCCCUUUUAAAAUAUCUUAGAAACAAAGCAUCAUUAACACUCCAAAAAAACAUCAUUAUCCCGAUAUCAUUAACCAAUAUUUUAAGAAUUUAAUCUAUAUAUAUGUUGAUUUUACGAACAGUUAUUAUUUAGAUGAUUUGAUAGUAUUUUUUAAAAAAAGGUAAAAACUCGUUAUUUGAUUAGCCAAUUGGAGAUGUGUAUUUCUGUUCUCUAUGAUUAUUGGAAAAUUUUAUUAAAUAAUAAAAUAAUAAUAAAGCCAAUAAAGGCAUGCCAGUUUUUAGCUAACGUUCGAAAAUUCAAAUAAGUGGCUCGGAACCGAAGCUAGCAGGUUAGGAGAUAGGUACAGAUGAACUUUGGAUGUGGUGCUCACGCGUUUGUAGGGGCGUAAAUUAGGCUCUAGAAAAGUACACUUGACCUACAACACCCCCCACCCCCUAAGUAGAUUUUGGAUUUAAGGCUAAAACUUAUUAAACCAAAAUAAUUUAUUUUUAAAAAAAAAAAGCAAAACCAAAGUUAAUUUUAUUUAUCGGAAAAAUAAUAAGUUAAAUUUGUAUGAGGUCAAAGAUGCAUAUCUUGACUUAACUCGUUAGAUUUAAUUAUUAAUAAUUGAAUAAUGUGAUAUUAAUAAAUAAAAAUAAUGAAUAAGGCAAGUAAGAAAGAGAAUCGGAUGGAGCUCAGGAAUGUAGGUAUAGUGUUGUUAUAUUGCUUAGAAUCAGAAUGCUCUUACAAAUAUAGGAAAUAAACUAUUUAUAGAGUAUAAUGUUGGCUUCACUCGAGCCAUAAAGUACUAAAAUCAAUGAAUAUUGGCCAUAUGUUAAUAUCGUUAGUGGUUAUUAUUUUUAUGUCAUGUUCAGGCUAUCUGUACGAUAAUAUUCAUAAUAAUGUGCAAAUUUAAUUUGUUCAUAAAUCCAUGAGAUACAUAUUAAAUAUUAAUAAAUUCUUUUUUGGUAUAGUAGGUAUUAUGAGCUUUCUUGAUUAGUUUAUGCGCAUUAAUAUUAUUUUCUAUGUAUUGCUAUUAUUAGGAAUAUUUUUGGAGUAUACAUGAGCUAAAAUUGACCAUGAAAAAAAUAAAUAAGGAGUGGUUUCCACCCAAAAUUAACUAUACAUUAUCUAUAUCACAAGAUUCACAACUAAUAUAUAUUAUUAAUGAAAAUAAAUACUAAAAUAAUUAAAAUGUAAUUUUACCAACCCCCUCAUUUUAUUCUUUCUAGUCUUUAAAGCCUCACGGGCUGAAUAACAAUGACUUUUGAUGGCAUUUAUACUUCUCACAUUUAAGCAAUCACGGGAAUUAAUUUGAAAAUAAUUAAAACUCUCCAACUAAGUUCCGCGCAUAAUUAGAUUUUUCUGUAAUUUCCAUUUUAAUCUAUAAUAAUAUUUUACUAUACUGUUCAAGUUCUCUUUUAACCAAUUUUUCAUGAUAUUGUUAUAAAAAAUUUGGUGAUAUAUCACUAGGUGAAUCUGUCAAUCCAUAAUAAUAAGUAGUAAAAAAUUACAAUAGAUGUGAUAUGAUAACUUGAAAAUUAAAAUAAAAACUUGCUAUAUUUAUUAGUUCUAAAAAAAAUUGAAGGAAAUUAUCUCCCCACCCCACCACCCUCAAGGUCUUUCAUUGGUGCCCUAAAAGUGAAUCAACUAAUUAUAAAUCAUAAUUUGGCUUAUAUAAUUCAAUACUAAUUAUAUGCUUCUGUCAAAUCUGCUGGUGGAUUAUGCUCUCUUAUCUCUUAACCAUAUUAUUAUUUUUUUCCCUCUAACCACUCCCAUUAUCUUUUAUUUAUUUUAUUUUUAUUUUUACUUUUAGACUAAUAAAAAUAAAUCAUGAUAAAACUCCCAUAAAAAACAAAAAAUCAUUAUAGCUAUGAUGUUUUGAUCACGUUAUGCACUUGACUAAUUUCAUGAGAUAUCUAUUAUCUCAUCAGUACAUCACGUCGACAUGGACAUCUGGUAACUUUGUCUAUCAAACUCGAAUAGAUGAGAAAAAAUCGUCUAAUGUUUGCGUUUAAUAAGAUUUAUAGAACAAGCUAUCAAGCUUGUCAUCAAACUUGUGACACAAGUUGUAGCAAUUAAGUGGAAGGAAAAAAUAAAGGAAAAUAUUAUUCAUACCUUAAAAUAGACAAAAGGAAGUGUAGUAAUAUAGAGCUUUCCCAUCAUAGUAAUGCUUUGCUUUGGAGGUGGCCCAACUUAUGGUAAUGCCAGAGCAAAAGUUAGACACAAAAAGUGAAUGUGAUUAGCAGUGAAAAUAUAAUUAAACUAAUUUGUACUUAAGACUAAUUAUUAUUGUAAUAUUCUCUAAUAAACUCAAUACAUCUUUUUUUGUGUGUACACAUUGUAAAGAGGUCUCAAUUCAAUUCUUAGUAUCACUAAUCAAAGUUUUGUUUAUCUUAUAGUCAUUUCUAUCUUAUUGAAUUUCCUUAAUUAACUAUGUUAUGGUAUGAUUAUAAAAAAAAUAAAAUCAAAAGGGUAAAAUGGUCCAUUUUCCAAUAAUAUCAUGAAAGCCAUAGCACUCCUAACAUUUUUUCCCCUCACUUUUGUUAUUAUUUCUUACUUUAAUUUGCCCACCGACCAGACUUCAUGAGUAGUGUGGAAAGCAAUUCCCCACAUUAUCCUUCUUUUUCUUUAAAUCAUAGAGGUAUUACAAUGACUUAUCAUGGCCAAAAAUUUACUACUAAUAAUUGUUGAAAGAAUCCAAAAGUUUCAUGAUAUUAUUAGGUUAUGUACAAAAUUGAUCCCCUGAAAAGCGGAAUUGAUUAGAAACUUUAUUCUUUUAUCAGAAUCGUACGUGAGACUCCAUCCUCAUAAGGUUGAGCAUUCGUUGAUCCAUAUUUUAAUUCAAUAGGUUAAGAAUAUUAUUGAAUUCCAUUUUUGCUACUAUAUAACAACUUAAUUCUAUAUAUAUAUGCGCGCGCGCUUCCUACAUUAUAAAUAUUCAAUUACAAUGUAUGUGUAGCCUUGCCUAUAGCACACUCUAUUACAUGGUGAUGAAAUGAGAGAAAGCAAUGUAACUACUAAUGUCCAAUAUAUUUAUAAAAUAUAUAAGUGGGCUCCACCACCUUCCACUUAAAUACUACAUAUUAUAUAUUAAUUACUAUACUAUAAAUGACUUAAAUACUCCAUAUUAUCUAUUACAAUAAUUAACAAUUAUUUGACACUUUAAAUUCUAUCAAUGCCAUAUAAAUUAGGAUAAAAAACCUAACAUAUAAUAUUUAAAUAUAUUUAAAAAUAAUAUAAGUAAUACUAUACAUUACAAUAAUUAACAGCUUAAUUAUUUAAAUAUUUUUUUAAUAAUAUAUGUUAUUUGCCAUGUCCCAAUUUAUGUGGCAUUAAUUGAUAGAUUUAUUGGAGUCGAGAGAUUUAUUUUGUUAAUUAUUGUAAUUUAUAGUUUCUUUUUCGUCAAUUUCAAACAAUAUAUGUUUAUUAUAUAAUCCAUUUUAUGUGGUACCUUCUCUAAAUUCUAUUGGUACCACAUAAAAUGGACAUUAGUAGUGAUCUUAUUGGGAGCUUGGUAGUCAUUCCUAGACUCUUCUAUAAUAUAGUAAUNNNNNNNNNNNNNNNNNNNNNNNNNNNNNNNNNNNNNNNNNNNNNNNNNNNNNNNNNNNNNNNNNNNNNNNNNNNNNNNNNNNNNNNNNNNNNNNNNNNNNNNNNNNNNNNNNNNNNNNNNNNNNNNNNNNNNNNNNNNNNNNNNNNNNNNNNNNNNNNNNNNNNNNNNNNNNNNNNNNNNNNNNNNNNNNNNNNNNNNNNNNNNNNNNNNNNNNNNNNNNNNNNNNNNNNNNNNNNNNNNNNNNNNNNNNNNNNNNNNNNNNNNNNNNNNNNNNNNNNNNNNNNNNNNNNNNNNNNNNNNNNNNNNNNNNNNNNNNNNNNNNNNNNNNNNNNNNNNNNNNNNNNNNNNNNNNNNNNNNNNNNNNNNNNNNNNNNNNNNNNNNNNNNNNNNNNNNNNNNNNNNNNNNNNNNNNNNNNNNNNNNNNNNNNNNNNNNNNNNNNNNNNNNNNNNNNNNNNNNNNNNNNNNNNNNNNNNNNNNNNNNNNNNNNNNNNNNNNNNNNNNNNNNNNNNNNNNNNNNNNNNNNNNNNNNNNNNNNNNNNNNNNNNNNNNNNNNNNNNNNNNNNNNNNNNNNNNNNNNNNNNNNNNNNNNNNNNNNNNNNNNNNNNNNNNNNNNNNNNNNNNNNNNNNNNNNNNNNNNNNNNNNNNNNNNNNNNNNNNNNNNNNNNNNNNNNNNNNNNNNNNNNNNNNNNNNNNNNNNNNNNNNNNNNNNNNNNNNNNNNNNNNNNNNNNNNNNNNNNNNNNNNNNNNNNNNNNNNNNNNNNNNNNNNNNNNNNNNNNNNNNNNNNNNNNNNNNNNNNNNNNNNNNNNNNNNNNNNNNNNNNNNNNNNNNNNNNNNNNNNNNNNNNNNNNNNNNNNNNNNNNNNNNNNNNNNNNNNNNNNNNNNNNNNNNNNNNNNNNNNNNNNNNNNNNNNNNNNNNNNNNNNNNNNNNNNNNNNNNNNNNNNNNNNNNNNNNNNNNNNNNNNNNNNNNNNNNNNNNNNNNNNNNNNNNNNNNNNNNAUUACUUAAAAUUUAAUGACUUAAAAAUAUUUUUUUAAAUGUAUUAAAAUUUUGGUUAAUUGUCAAAACUUUACAUGUGCCACAUAAAUUGGGACAUGGAGAGUCACACAUAUUAUUAUUUUUAAAUUACAUUAAAAGUAUUCUAUCAAUUAACAACAUAUAUUGUUUGAAAUUGAACGGAAAAAAAAACUAUAAAUUACAAUAAUUAACAAAAUAAAUCUCUUGACUCCAACAAAUCUAUCAAUUAAUGCCACAUAAAUUGGGACAUGGCAAAUAACAUAUAUUAUUAAAAAAAUUAAGGUUCAAAAUGUACUAUAAAAUACAAUAAUUAACAACUUAAUAUAUUUAAAGAAGACAUAUAAAAAAUAGGUUAAUAUUUGAAAUUCUGCGUGUGCCACAUAAAUUAGAACAAACAGAGUAAUAAAUAUUAUUUUCAAAAUUAUGUUAAAAAAAAGUACUACAAAUCACAAUAGCUAAAAAUUUAAAAUAUUUUUAAAAUCAUAUAAAAUUUCAAUAACUUCUCAAAUUCCAUAAUAUGACAUAAAUUAAAAUAAAAAAAUAAUAUAUAUUGGGCCCCGUGCUGGCACGGGGUCCUAUAACUAGUAAUAGUAUAAAAUGCUUCUUUUUUUAAUCCAUCAAGGGAUUAUUUUCUUGGAACAAAUGAAAAGUUGUUUGACUAAACAAAGGGUGUUUUGUUAGGGGGAAAAAUGAAGAAAGUUGGAUAAUAAAACUUAAAGCAAAAGAUGAACUAUCUCAACUACAAUUUGGUGAAGUUGAAAAAAAAAGAUCAUCUCUAUUCUAGGAUACCCAACUUUAGAAGAAAGCAAGAUUAAUCCUACUUCUAUUUUAUAUUAUAUACAACAACAACAACAACAAUUCUUGUGUAAUUACAAAUGGGGUGUGGGAAGGGUGGUAUGUAUGGAGUCUUAUCCAAUUUAUUUAUUGUGACGGUAGAGAGGUUAUUUUUGAUAAACUAUCGACACAAGUAAAACAUAUCAAACUCAAGUAUGGAAAGAAAAUACAGUAAUGUAUAAAUCAUGCUAGAGAUAAAAGAGAAGAACAGUAGCAAAACGACAAACAAGACGUAAAUGAAGCAAAGAAAACAGCAUGUAAUAAAAUAGAAGAAUAAGGUAAUAGUAGGGAAAACUAGACAACGCUCAGAUACAGAAAUACCUAUUAACCUUCUACCCUAUCUCUCGUCCUUCAUACGGUCAUGUCCUAGUCGUAGAAAAACUAAACAACAAUCAAAUACCUAUUGACCUUCUACCCUAAUCCUCGCCAAGAACUAUACCUCCUAUCUAGAGUCAUAUACUCUAUAGUUACUAAUUUGAUGUCUGAAUUUACAUUGGACAUAGAUUCUGCUUUGACCUUGUAAAUUUGCUUUCUUAUUUGCCUUUUUCAGAUGUAAAUAAAACUGACAUUUCAUAGAAAGUUGAAAGAUAUUUCAAGAAUAAUGUGACUUUGCACCUGGCAACCAAUCAUCUAUUGGGGUUCCUUUGAUGCUAACAGUUAUUUAAAUAUCAGAGAUAUUUUGUUCCUUGAGAUAUAAUUUUUCCUUUCCCAAAAAGGUUGAUUCCUCUUGCUUUUAGAAAGUCCUGAGACAUGUUCUCAUCCCAUUUCUCACUUCUCAGGGCCAGCACUUCAUAAUAUGAAACUAGCCAUCAGUUGACGAUGUAUAUAAUUUAAACUCUUUCGAAAUGAUGACAAAAAUGUGCAAAUAAUAUAUUCUGCAUACAUCUUUUUUCAGUUCAAUUUUUCUUUAUUAUGUUCUUAUCCUUUCUUGUUGUCUUCAACCAGACAACCACAACUGGUAAGGAUGAAGGAAUACUUACUAGUCUGAUAUAUAAGCUGGAAAGCCCAAAGAGUAAAUGCCUCAAAAGUUCGACUAAUAUUCAAUUUCUCAAACCUCAGUAUAGUUUCUAGUCUUCCUACAUUUCAGCUCCUUUUAUCAUCAUCAUCAAUUUCAGUAUAUAAAUGGUAUACUAAAUCUGUUUCACAAUGGCCAAAAUGGUUUUUCUAUGUUGCUAUGACAGCUAAUAAGAAAAAAGAUACACAACCGAUGAGGAGAUUGAUGCAGACGAAUCAGUUGCCUUGCUCGAGGACUUGAUGAACUAAACUGCCUCUACUACGAUGAAUCAAUCCCCAAGUCAUUGUGCCAUCCUACAAUGUGUGAGGAUGAGGAUCAGGGGGGAACAUGGUUACAAGGAAGCGGUGAAUCAUCUCAAAACUGGUAAAUGUGAUAACAGCUGCAGGGGUAGUUCGGAUUAGGUUGGUUGCACAACCACGGUAAAAGCCUGUCAUGCCUUCUUGAUGAAAGACUUUCUUAAUGCAGUCAACUACACCAGAGUACCGUUUUUCAGAAUGGUGCCCCUGUUCUUGAAGCCUUGAACGUACAACCUACAACGAAAAAUCCAAAGAAUGAUUUGGUGAACGUAUGCUUGUCAUACACUCGAUUCCCUAAGCUUUCCGAACACAUGCAAAAUCUAUUGAAGUGAUUCAACCAUAAA